rnacentral:rRNA from 1 species
UCCGUAGGUGAACCUGCGGAGGGAUCAUUACCGAGUUUACAACUCCCAAACCCAAUGUGAACGUUACCAAUCUGUUGCCUCGGCGGGAUUCUCUGCCCCGGGCGCGUCGCAGCCCCGGAUCCCAUGGCGCCCGCCGGAGGACCAACUCAAACUCUUUUUUCUCUCCGUCGCGGCCUACGUCGCGGCUCUGUUUUAUUUUUGCUCUGAGCCUUUCUCGGCGACCCUAGCGGGCGUCUCGAAAAUGAAUCAAAACUUUCAACAACGGAUCUCUUGGUUCUGGCAUCGAUGAAGAACGCAGCGAAAUGCGAUAAGUAAUGUGAAUUGCAGAAUUCAGUGAAUCAUCGAAUCUUUGAACGCACAUUGCGCCCGCCAGUAUUCUGGCGGGCAUGCCUGUCCGAGCGUCAUUUCAACCCUCGAACCCCUCCGGGGGGUCGGCGUUUGGGGAUCGGCCCCUCACCGGGCCGCCCCCGAAAUACAGUGGCGGUCUCGCCGCAGCCUCUCCUGCGCAGUAGUUUGCACACUCGCACCGGGAGCGCGGCGCGGCCACAGCCGUAAAACACCCCAAACUCUGAAAUGUUGACCUCGGAUCAGGUAGGAAUACCCGCUGAACUUAAGCAUAUCAAUAAGCGGAGGA